ACGGUUAACUUCUUGGGAGUAUUCAACAGUAAUACUCUUUACAAGUCGGAUGAAGCUAGCAGCUGGGAUCAGCAGCUUCCAAGUCUUCUGGAAGUGGCGAAUUUCUCGGAGAGCUACUGUUCCUGGCUUGAAGCGAUGCUGUUUCCUCUGCCUUGGUGUUCUUGAAGUUGAUGGAGUAUUUCGCUGUGCUCUACUUGCACUUGGUCCUGGGGACCUAUUCGACGGCGGCGUUGCUAGUGAAGUUGGUGAGGUAGUUGUUUCAGUGGAUUUCUUUCGCCUUCGGCCCCGCGGCACGGAAUGUUUGACUCUGGCCAUUGAGGGAGCGUGUGAAGGGAGAAAGAGUCCGUUGGACAGCCCAGAUUAUCAAUUUUGGAGCCAGAGGCUUUCGUCUUUUUUUCCUCUCUCUUAUAUUUAUAUAUUUGCAAACUCUUUUGCCGCUCUGUGAUUUUUUGAAUUGCCGUCCGUUGCUGAAGCCCAAAUUGCUAGAACAGGAAAAUGAUAAUUUGCUAACUGUAAUUGCUCAUUUUCCUGUGGAUGGUAGAACAACAUCAAAACGACAAUGGAAAGUUU
rnacentral:misc_RNA from 1 species